rnacentral:rRNA from 1 species
UACGUAGGGUGCGAGCGUUAAUCGGAAUUACUGGGCGUAAAGCGUGCGUAGGCGGUUCGUUGUGUCUGUGGUGAAAGCCCCGGGCUUAACCUGGGAAUGGCCAUGGAAACUGGCGAGCUGGAGUGUGGCAGAGGGGGUGGAAUUCCGCGUGUAGCAGUGAAAUGCGUAGAGAUGCGGAGGAACACCGAUGGCGAAGGCAGCCCCCUGGGCUAACACUGACGCUCAGGCACGAAAGCGUGGGGAGCAAACAGG